GGGGACCCGCAAGCGGUGGAUGAUGUGGAUUAAUUCGAUGCAACGCGAAAAACCUUACCUACCCUUGACAUGUACGGAAGCCUUGAGAGAUCAGGGUGUGCUCGAAAGAGAGCCGUAACACAGGUGCUGCAUGGCUGUCGUCAGCUCGUGUCGUGAGAUGUUGGGUUAAGUCCCGCAACGAGCGCAACCCUUGUCAUUAGUUGCUACAAAAGGGCACUCUAAUGAGACUGCCGGUGACAAACCGGAGGAAGGUGGGGAUGACGUCAAGUCCUCAUGGCCCUUAUGGGUAGGGCUUCACACGUCAUACAAUGGUACAUACAGAGGGCCGCCAACCCGCGAGGGGGAGCUAAUCCCGGAAAGUGUAUCGUAGUCCGGAUCGCAGUCUGCAACUCGACUGCGUGAAGUUGGAAUCGCUAGUAAUCGCGGAUCAGCAUGUCGCGGUGAAUACGUUCCCGGGUCUUGUACACACC
rnacentral:rRNA from 1 species